CCUACGGGUGGCAGCAGUCGAGAAUCAUUCACAAUGGGGGAAACCCUGAUGGUGCGACGCCGCGUGGGGGAAUGAAGGUCUUCGGAUUGUAAACCCCUGUCAUGUGGGAGCAAAUUAAAAAGAUAGUACCACACGAGGAAGAGACGGCUAACUCUGUGCCAGCAGCCGCGGUAAUACAGAGGUCUCAAGCGUUGUUCGGAAUCACUGGGCGUAAAGCGUGCGUAGGCUGUUUCGUAAGUCGUGUGUGAAAGGCGCGGGCUCAACCCGCGGACGGCACAUGAUACUGCGAGACUAGAGUAAUGGAGGGGGGACCGGAAUUCUCGGUGUAGCAGUGAAAUGCGUAGAUAUCGAGAGGAACACUCGUGGCGAAGGCGGGUUCCUGGACAUUAACUGACGCUGAGGCACGAAGGCCAGGGGAGCGAAAGGGAUUAGAUACCCUUGUAGUC
rnacentral:rRNA from 1 species